AAUAGAUACCCUGGUAGUCCAUGCCGUAAACGUUGGGAACUGGGUGUGGGUCUCAUUCCACGAGAUCCGUGCCGCAGCUAACGCAUUAAGUUCCCCGCCUGGGGAGUACGGCCGCAAGGCUAAAACUCAAAGGAAUUGACGGGGGCCCGCACAAGCGGCGGAGCAUGCGGAUUAAUUCGAUGCAACGCGAAGAACCUUACCAAGGCUUGACAUGUACCGGAAACGUGCAGAGAUGUGCGCCCCGCAAGGUCGGUACACAGGUGGUGCAUGGUUGUCGUCAGCUCGUGUCGUGAGAUGUUGGGUUAAGUCCCGCAACGAGCGCAACCCUCGUUCUAUGUUGCCAGCACGUGAUGGUGGGGACUCAUAGGAGACUGCCGGGGUCAACUCGGAGGAAGGUGGGGAUGACGUCAAAUCAUCAUGCCCCUUAUGUCUUGGGCUUCACGCAUGCUACAAUGGCCAGUACAAAGGGCUGCGAAACCGUGAGGUGGAGCGAAUCCCAAAAAACUGGUCUCAGUUCGGAUUGGGGU
rnacentral:rRNA from 1 species